rnacentral:lncRNA from 1 species
AUAAACUAGAGAGAAGUUAAGAGCCCUCAAACACGUUUGAGUUGGAGUAGAGUAGGGCUUCUUGAACUGUGAGUCUCCUCUUGAAUGUCUGGUUGACUUGAAGGCAGGAGGAGACUUCUUUAAAUGCUGGGAAGAGGUAGCUGGAUGGAGUUAAUGGCGCUCUUCCUUCUUUUCUGUUGAAAACCAGUUGGCAGAGAUAGGAUGCUUGAUUUCUUUGAGUGGAAUGGUGCUUCUCUGCCUUGCUACAGUCCUCUGUGGCUAUUUAAGCCAUCCCCCACGGAAACUAGCCGUUAGAUACCUUUUUCUGCCCGUUCUGCACACUCUGCACAUCCUGACAAUAUGUCCGUUGGGGUCGGAGUCGACUCGCGCGAUCUGAAGUCGACUCGGCUGUAGCGGGAGUCGACUCAUGCUUUUCUGGAGUCGGCUCGGCAACUGUUCCGGAUUUGAAUUAAAGUGACCUCCGCGACCGGGAGUC